AGCUGUUACUACAUUUAUUGAGAUAUCAUGAGAUUAAUACAAGUUAUUUUUUGGUCUCUACAGUUGCCAGAGGUGCUCAAAGUGGUGGCCAUGAGCUUCCGGAAAUUUAUUAGUACAGCAAACUGCUGCUUGGAUAACCUUGGUCACUGAGAUUGCUGCACAUGCAUUUUCACUAUCUUCUCUGAGGGUGGCAGUGUAGUGAGUUUUCUCCACAGGGUCUCCACGUGAGUAACACCAACUGUUGGGAAAACAUCAUACUAUUUUUCCUUUCCGGGAGUGUGUAUACAUCCGCCCCACUCCCUUCCUCCCUCCUUCUCUUCCUCUCUGUCUCUCUCCUUCCCUCCCUCCCUCUCUUUCCCUCUCUCUCAUCAUCCACGCUACAAUGAGGAUGUAUCUCACAUGUCUGAAGUGAAACCCGGACAUAAAAGGUCACCUGUUGUAUGAUUCCACUUAUAUGAAAUGUCCGGAAUGGGCAUAAACAUAGUGAGAAAAUAGAUUAGCGAUUAUCCGGGAGCUAGGCAGAGAGCUAGGGGGAGUGAUUAUUAAUGGGCAUAAGGCUUCUCUGGGAGCUGACGAAAAUGUUCUGGAAUUAGAAAUUGGUGAUUGAUGCACAACUUUGUCAAAAUACUGCAGGGGUAUGCUUUUUAAAAUGGGAGUACUUUUGUGGUAUAUGAAUUAUAAUCUCAAAAAAAAAAAAGAACUAAAAGAAAGGUGCUCUUGCCAGCUGCAGUAAUAGAGAGCUGGAAGGGAACCUGGAAACAGGAGCUCAGUCUGCUGGGUCAAGGAGAGCAGAUAAGGGUGACGCUCAUAUCUACUGUUGCCUGGUGAGGGCUAUGGGCCAAGCCCUGGGAUAAAUUUUUAAUUUAUAUACGGUAUAUUUAGAUACCUCUUAUUUCAGUUAUUCAGGAUCCGAGACUAUGCCCAUUUUACAGAUGCAGAAGCUGAGGCUCACAGAGGUUACGUCAUGUGUAACGCAGGUGGCAUUUUCAGUAUCUUGGGCUGGAGCCCACAUUGGUUGAGACUGCAGCUUCACCACCACCAUGACCACCACCACCACCACUACCCAGGGCAAAAUCUUCCCAAGGUAAAAAGCCCCGAGGCAACAUUCACACCAUCUACCUAGAGUCCCUGAGGCACAGCGUUGGAGAGGGCUGGCCUGCCCUCUUCUCUGGAAGGCUGCUGCUAGACAUACGUUGCCCUGGGUGAGGGGGUCCUGCUGGGGCUGGGAGCCAGCUAUUAUUGAUGUUUUCCUUAGGCAGAGAUGGCUGAGUCCACUGGUACACAGAAGUCAUUCACAAUUCACAACCUGAGAAUAACAGCCUCUGUUUCGGGGGUGCCCUAAAUUAGGGCUAGGACUCUGCUUAGGUUAUAAUCCAGUCAGGUCAGCCAGAAAAAGGUCUGGCCUCCACCUAAAUGACUGCGCUCUGUCCUGAGCGGUGUCCUGAGGCCUGCUCUGCCCUCCUGGCCACCUAGAAACUUUCUGGGGGAAACCAACUAAUUUCCUUCCUUUCUCAGCCUGGUUCAGUCACAGACUCCUCCCCCUUACCUCUUCUUUCAGCCCCCAUCUCCUCCUCUCUUCCUAGAAAACCUCAAACCUUCAAGGCCCAGCUCAGUACCCUGUACUCAGUCAGGUAUCCUUGCUUGGGUUAGAGGUGUUCCUGUCACAGCCCUGACCACCCUAGGUAUCCUCAGCUGUCUCCACUGUCUGUCUCCACAGCAUUCACAGCUUGCUUCUAACAUGAAGGCGGAGGACUGGCAAACGGCAGGAUGGGCA
ensembl:lincRNA